UGCUUCCGAGUGUCCUUUUGGUGACC
rnacentral:piRNA from 1 species